UACGGAGGGUGCGAGCGUUGUCCGGAAUCACUGGGCGUAAAGGGCGCGUAGGCGGCGCGGGGAGUCAACGGUGAAAGCUCGGCGCUCAACGCCGAGUCGGCCGUCGAUACUCCCGUGCUCGAGCACUGUAGAGGCAGGUGGAAUUCCGGGUGUAGCGGUGGAAUGCGUAGAGAUCGGGAGGAAGGCCGGUGGCGAAGGCGGCGCUCUGGAACGUUUCUGACACUGAGGCUCGAAAGCGUGGGGAGCAAACAGG
rnacentral:rRNA from 1 species